rnacentral:tRNA from 1 species
UGGGGUCAUAGCUCAGUUGGUAGAGCGCUACAAUGGCAUUGUAGAGGUCAGCGGUUCGAUCCCGCUUGACUCCACCAG